GACAGUUCCCGGGCUGAAGAGAAAAUGCAGGACCUUCCAAGACAUUCUGUGAAAAAUGCUCUUUGGAUAAAACUGCAACUUAAAAAUAACCUCCGUUGGGUGUGGAGAGGAGAACAACUGAAAUAUUGGGGCCAGAGACCCAGAGUGAAGGCCAAAUUUGAGAUAAGAAAAUGCUAGAUUCUUAAGAUCUUUGGAAAGCACCCUCCCCCAUUUAUUUACAACAAAGUUUCUUAGAAACAAAUAUGAGGAAAUGGACAAGUUGUGAUUUUUAAGGUGUUAAACCCCUAUGCUAAUAAACAGAUCAUCUUCCAGUGUGAUGAAGGAAGAAAAAAUUGGAGAAAGACAGAUCUAUGCUCCAAGAUAAACAAAUAUGACACCACUACUAGAGAACAAGAUAAAGUCCAAGUGAGGUGGUUCUGGUCUUUGGAGAGCAAUAGGCAUAAGGAAGCCAAACAAGAAAAAUUGAGAACUGUCAUGAGGAAUGGGCUCACCUGGGGAAGAAUCCAACUCUGCCACUCUUCCUGUGUGAUCUUGGAGCACACUGGCCAAGAAGACCUUCAUCUUGAAGAAGGUGCUCCUUACCAAACCAGUACAUUUCUCCAUGGUGCUAGGUGGCUGCAAUCCUGACCAGAGUCAACUCUUGUUUAUGGAGAAUGGAAAUCAGUCGACAGAAGAAGAUUAUCUAUGGAGAUGGAAUGGUGGAUUACUGUCUUUCCUGAGGCCACAUGAGACAGCAAUUCCUGAGAGAGCAAUUGGACCAGGAUAAAGUACAUUCACUUUAUUGUUAACUGACCAACAGCUGUUUCCAGAUGUUCCCAGCGCUGGUUAUGUAGUUCAUGCUCACUCACAUGCAAAGGCCCUCUCCAUGUAGAUCACUGGAUGUCAACAACAGUCUGGUAGGGACAGGCUCUGUGAGUCUUGUAACUGCAACUUUGCAAUGCUGGCACCAGAGUCAGAGUCUAGAGCUCACUGCAAAAGGCACCCCCUCUGUGCACAGAUGAUGCAAUGGAUCAGUGUCUUUCUCACCAUGGUGACAGCAGUUGACAUGGAAACAGUUGUUCCCGCUUAUACACAUAAUCAUUGUCCCUCACUCAGGCUUGCCAAAUGUCAAAAAUAUUUGCCUGCCCAGCAUCCAUUUCUCCCAUCUCUAGGAAAUGCAGUAAGAUUAUCUUUUGGGAAAUCAUCUUUAUUGAACACCCAAAGCAGUUGUUUUGGAUAUUACCUGUCCAAGCUCAGUAUAUAACCAAUACCUGGUCAAAAACUAAAUCACAGGAAUGUGUAACCCAUUCUGAGUCCAUGAGUGUCAGCUCCAGAUUCUGCUAAAAUGAUUGGGAAAGUGGUAGGGUUUUGCCUGCUAUUAUCAAGCUGAUGGACUAUAAGCCUGAAGCUGCUGGCAGCUGUUUGUACCACCAGCUGUGUAGAACAUGCUUGAAAAUAAAGAAAAUUUAGAGAAAAAACAGAGUUAAGGAACUAAGAGAGACAAUUUGAGCACCUGUGUCCAGCCUGACCUGAACUUAAAUACACCUUUUGACUUUUCAGUUAUACAAACCAAUUUUUGCCUUUUCUUGCUUAAGGAAGUUCUCAUUUAGGUUUCUAUCACUUGCCGCCCCCAAAGUCCUGAUGAAUAGAUAGGUUUUCUCCCUUUGUGGAGAUUUUCAUAGGAAUGGAGUAGAACUAGAGAUCUAAUUGAAACUCUGAAAGCUUCAGCAUUUGAACAAUCUGUAUCUUUCUAUAAGCAAAGCUUAUAUAUCAGUUCAUUGGCACAUGACUAGUUAGCAAUUGCAACCUGCCAAGCAUUGUGUUGGAUACACAGUGAGGAAGGAAGUGAGGGAGGAAGAUGCCAGCCAGGAUCUCUGUCCUCCCGGAGUUUACAAUCUAGCCAGGAAAGCAGAAGUAAUACAAGUUAAAACUUAGAGCAGAAGUUCUCACCUUCAGGACGACAGUGCACUGAUCUUCCCCAGGAGACAGCGAAAUGGGGCUGGUGCCACCUACACUUUAUAGACCAGGAAGUUGUGGCUAAGUAACCUACUGAUUUGCCAAGUGAAGUCAGCAGCGUGAUGACACACAGACUGGUGCUCUUCAGCAUUGCUCUCCUAUAUCAGUGGUGGCCUCUGGGAUCAAACCCCACAGCCUUGGGCUCCCCAUCCAGGACCUCAACCAUCUAGACUUGGGUCAGUUCUCUAGUCUUUUUUUUUUUUUUUUUUAAUUUUUUUUAGUUCUCUAGUCUUGACUUCCCUCACAACACAUUCUGACCACCAGACCAGACAAUGGGCAGUGGCCGGGUCUACUCUGCCUUCCCCCACUACCAAGCUGUGGCUUAGGCUGGGUCCUUUACCUGAAAUGCCAGCCCUCACCACCUCCACUCGUCAAUCCACCCUUUAAAAACUGCCUGUUCCUCAAGGUUUAUCAAUAUACCACGUCACCUCAUU